rnacentral:rRNA from 1 species
UACGUAGGGGGCAAGCGUUGUCCGGAUUCAUUGGGCGUAAAGAGCGUGUAGGCGGCCAGGUAGGUCGGUUGUGAAAACUGGAGGCUCAACCUUCAGAGGUCGACCGAAACCAUCUGGCUAGAGUCCGGGAGAGGAGAGUGGAAUUCCUGGUGUAGCGGUGAAAUGCGCAGAUAUCAGGAAGAACACCCGUGGCGAAAGCGGCUCUCUGGAACGGUACUGACGCUGAGACGCGAAAGCGUGGGGAGCAACAGG